AACGAACGCUGGCAGCAGGCUUAACACAUGCAAGUCGAACGCCCCGCAAGGGGAGUGGCAGACGGGUGAGUAACGCGUGGGAAUGUACCCCAAGGUUCGGAACAACGCCGGGAAACUGGCGCUAAUACCGGAUGUGACCGAGAGGUGAAAGAUUUAUCGCCUUGGGAUCAGCCCGCGUUAGAUUAGCUAGUUGGUGGGGUAAUGGCCCACCAAGGCUACGAUCUAUAGCUGGUCUGAGAGGAUGAUCAGCCACACUGGGACUGAGACACGGCCCAGACUCCUACGGGAGGCAGCAGUGGGGAAUCUUGGACAAUGGGCGCAAGCCUGAUCCAGCCAUGCCGCGUGAAUGAUGAAGGCCUUAGGGUUGUAAAAUUCUUUCGCCAGGGACGAUAAUGACGGUACCUGAAGAAGAAGCCCCGGCUAACUUCGUGCCAGCCGCCGCCGUAAUAC
rnacentral:rRNA from 1 species